GAAACUGCCAAUCUAGAGUAUCGGAGAGGAAAGUGGAAUUCCUAGUGUAGCGGUGAAAUGCGUAGAUAUUAGGAAGAACACCAGUGGCGAAGGCGACUUUCUGGACGAAAACUGACGCUGAGGCGCGAAAGCCAGGGGAGCGAACGGGAUUAGAUACCCCGGUAGUCCUGGCCGUAAACGAUGGGUACUAGGUGUAGGAGGUAUCGACCCCUUCUGUGCCGGAGUUAACGCAAUAAGUACCCCGCCUGGGGAGUACGACCGCAAGGUUGAAACUCAAAGGAAUUGACGGGGGCCCGCACAAGCGGUGGAGUAUGUGGUUUAAUUCGACGCAACGCGAAGAMCCUU
rnacentral:rRNA from 1 species